AGAAGAGUAUGAAGCCAGUUGUCACGUCUUGUCUUAGGUGCAUAGUACAAAAUCAAAAACAACGAUUUGAGCGAAUGAAUCCAUUCUAAAGCAAUCCAUCCCCACGGAAUAAUCAGAAGCGACGGAAGAAUGCAUCCUGUCCUGAUUCGAUUAGUGUUCUUAUUGCAGCUAUUCCGAUACUCUACGGCUAAAUGACUCGUGACUUCACAAGCGUUAUAUCUACGGUUUUCUGCAAGACGAGUUUCUAAUUUGUGGUACAUACGGUUGCAUUUAACGCAUUUAACAUUUAUCAAUCUUACGUGGAAAAUUAUCAUUGGUUCAGCGGUGCAUAGACUAUUUUGUAAUGUAUAAGAGUAUAUAUACACAAAUGAUACACAUAUCCCAA